UCUUGACUUCUCUUUUUUUCCUUUCCCUUUCUCCUCCCUUGUGUAUCUAUGAGACAUUUUUCGUUAGCCUUUCUUCUUCUGGUUUGCAGGACUCCUUAAAACAAAGGUAAAUAGGUGACUAUCCUCACUAGGAGGUAAAGGCGUUGAGGCUCGAAGCUUUAGAUCUCUAUAGAUUUGACCUGGCUGCCGGUUUUUUUAGAUCCUGAGAGAGCAUAGAAGGAGUGGUUUCCUCGGAUACAGGGUCUCAGGGAUCGGCUAGCCAUGUGGAGAUCUACAACUUGACCGAAGAGAAGAUGAAUCUACUGAGUUUCUGACAUCGGACGGAGAAGCUGCGGCGGGAUUCUUCUUUUUCUACGGUGGGAAAAGGGUGGUUGCGGAGGAAAGUUAAUGUUUCUGGGGUAGGUAGCCGGUCAUUGGGUUUCGUGCCUGAGAGAGAAAUUUGAAAUACGCGGUUCUAAGUAAUACCAAAUCUCAUCUAAGUCGCUGCGUUUAAUAAACGAACAGGGCCUCACUAUAAAUCUAACUCUUAAGUCAAUUGUCCCCUCUUACAUUUCUCACUUUGAAUCAUAUCAUCUUUCUUGAUUUUUUCCAUUUAGCUUUCUAAACAGAAAACAAUGUUGGGUCCUAGUGCCAAUCAAGGUGAAAUCCUCCACCCAUCA
rnacentral:lncRNA from 1 species